rnacentral:rRNA from 1 species
GCAGCCUGAUGCAGCAACGCCGCGUGAGGGACGACGGCCUUCGGGUUGUAAACCUCUUUUAGUAGGGAAGAAGCGAAAGUGACGGUACCUGCAGAAAAAGCACCGGCUAACUACGUGCCAGCAGCCGCGGUAAUACGUAGGGUGCAAGCGUUAUCCGGAAUUAUUGGGCGUAAAGAGCUCGUAGGCGGUUUGUCGCGUCUGCUGUGAAAACUGGAGGCUCAACCUCCAGCCUGCAGUGGGUACGGGCAGACUAGAGUGCGGUAGGGGAGAUUGGAAUUCCUGGUGUAGCGGUGGAAUGCGCAGAUAUCAGGAGGAACACCGAUGGCGAAGGCAGAUCUCUGGGCCGUAACUGACGCUGAGGAGCGAAAGCAUGGGGAGCGAACAGGAUUAGAUACCCUGGUAGUCCAUGCCGUAAACGUUGGGAACUAGAUGUAGGGGCCAUUCCACGGUUUCUGUGUCGCAGCUAACGCAUUAAGUUCCCCGCCUGGGGAGUACGGCCGCAAGGCUAAAACUCAAAGGAAUUGACGGGGGCCCGCACAAGCGGCGGAGCAUGCGGAUUAAUUCGAUGCAACGCGAAGAACCUUACCAAGGCUUGACAUAUACGAGAACGGGCUAGAAAUAGUCAACUCUUUGGACACU